rnacentral:rRNA from 1 species
GGGUUGUGAGGUUAAGCGACUAAGCGUACACGGUGGAUGCCCUGGCAGUCAGAGGCGAUGAAGGGCGUGCUAAUCUGCGAUAAGCGCCGGUAAGGUGAUAUGAACCGUUAUAACCGGCGAUACCCGAAUGGGGAAACCCAGUGUGACUCGUCACACUAUCAUUAACUGAAUCCAUAGGUUAAUGAGGCGAACCGGGGGAACUGAAACAUCUAAGUACCCCGAGGAAAAGAAAUCAACCGAGAUUCCCCCAGUAGCGGCGAGCGAACGGGGAGGAGCCCAGAGCCUGAAUCAGCAUGUGUGUUAGUGGAAGCGUCUGGAAAGGCGCGCGAUACAGGGUGACAGCCCCGUACACAAAAGCGCAUGUGCUGUGAGCUCGAUGAGUAGGGCGGGACACGUGGUAUCCUGUCUGAAUAUGGGGGGACCAUCCUCCAAGGCUAAAUACUCCUGACUGACCGAUAGUGAACCAGUACCGUGAGGGAAAGGCGAAAAGAACCCCGGCGAGGGGAGUGAAAAAGAACCUGAAACCGUGUACGUACAAGCAGUGGGAGCACAGGUUUACCUGUGUGACUGCGUACCUUUUGUAUAAUGGGUCAGCGACUUAUAUUCUGUAGCAAGGUUAACCGAAUAGGGGAGCCGGAGGGAAACCGAGUCUUAAUUGGGCGUUAAGUUGCAGGGUAUAGACCCGAAACCCGGUGAUCUAGCCAUGGGCAGGUUGAAGGUUGGGUAACACUAACUGGAGGACCGAACCGACUAAUGUUGAAAAAUUAGCGGAUGACCUGUGGCUGGGGGUGAAAGGCCAAUCAAACCGGGAGAUAGCUGGUUCUCCCCGAAAGCUAUUUAGGUAGCGCCUCGUGAAUUCAUCUCCGGGGGUAGAGCACUGUUUCGGCUAGGGGGCCAUCCCGGCUUACCAACCCGAUGCAAACUGCGAAUACCGGAGAAUGUUAUCACGGGAGACACACGGCGGGUGCUAACGUCCGUCGUGAAGAGGGAAACAACCCAGACCGCCAGCUAAGGUCCCAAAGUCAUGGUUAAGUGGGAAACGAUGUGGGAAGGCCCAGACAGCCAGGAUGUUGGCUUAGAAGCAGCCAUCAUUUAAAGAAAGCGUAAUAGCUCACUGGUCGAGUCGGCCUGCGCGGAAGAUGUAACGGGGCUAAACCAUGCACCGAAGCUGCGGCAGCGACGCUUAUGCGUUGUUGGGUAGGGGAGCGUUCUGUAAGCCUGCGAAGGUGGCCUGUGAGGGUUGCUGGAGGUAUCAGAAGUGCGAAUGCUGACAUAAGUAACGAUAAAGCGGGUGAAAAGCCCGCUCGCCGGAAGACCAAGGGUUCCUGUCCAACGUUAAUCGGGGCAGGGUGAGUCGACCCCUAAGGCGAGGCCGAAAGGCGUAGUCGAUGGGAAACGGGUUAAUAUUCCCGUACUUGGUGUUACUGCGAAGGGGGGACGGAGAAGGCUAUGUUGGCCGGGCGACGGUUGUCCCGGUUUAAGCGUGUAGGUGUGUGUUCCAGGUAAAUCCGGUUCACUUUAACACUGAGGCGUGAUGACGAGGCACUACGGUGCUGAAGUAACAAAUGCCCUGCUUCCAGGAAAAGCCUCUAAGCAUCAGGUAACAUCAAAUCGUACCCCAAACCGACACAGGUGGUCAGGUAGAGAAUACCAAGGCGCUUGAGAGAACUCGGGUGAAGGAACUAGGCAAAAUGGUGCCGUAACUUCGGGAGAAGGCACGCUGACACGUAGGUGAAGUGAUUUACUCACGGAGCUGAAGUCAGUCGAAGAUACCAGCUGGCUGCAACUGUUUAUUAAAAACACAGCACUGUGCAAACACGAAAGUGGACGUAUACGGUGUGACGCCUGCCCGGUGCCGGAAGGUUAAUUGAUGGGGUCAGCGCAAGCGAAGCUCCUGAUCGAAGCCCCGGUAAACGGCGGCCGUAACUAUAACGGUCCUAAGGUAGCGAAAUUCCUUGUCGGGUAAGUUCCGACCUGCACGAAUGGCGUAAUGAUGGCCAGGCUGUCUCCACCCGAGACUCAGUGAAAUUGAACUCGCUGUGAAGAUGCAGUGUACCCGCGGCAAGACGGAAAGACCCCGUGAACCUUUACUAUAGCUUGACACUGAACAUUGAGCCUUGAUGUGUAGGAUAGGUGGGAGGCUUUGAAGCGUGGACGCCAGUCUGCGUGGAGCCGACCUUGAAAUACCACCCUUUAAUGUUUGAUGUUCUAACGUGGACCCGUGAUCCGGGUUGCGGACAGUGUCUGGUGGGUAGUUUGACUGGGGCGGUCUCCUCCUAAAGAGUAACGGAGGAGCACGAAGGUUGGCUAAUCCUGGUCGGACAUCAGGAGGUUAGUGCAAUGGCAUAAGCCAGCUUGACUGCGAGCGUGACGGCGCGAGCAGGUGCGAAAGCAGGUCAUAGUGAUCCGGUGGUUCUGAAUGGAAGGGCCAUCGCUCAACGGAUAAAAGGUACUCCGGGGAUAACAGGCUGAUACCGCCCAAGAGUUCAUAUCGACGGCGGUGUUUGGCACCUCGAUGUCGGCUCAUCACAUCCUGGGGCUGAAGUAGGUCCCAAGGGUAUGGCUGUUCGCCAUUUAAAGUGGUACGCGAGCUGGGUUUAGAACGUCGUGAGACAGUUCGGUCCCUAUCUGCCGUGGGCGCUGGAGAACUGAGGGGGGCUGCUCCUAGUACGAGAGGACCGGAGUGGACGCAUCACUGGUGUUCGGGUUGUCAUGCCAAUGGCACUGCCCGGUAGCUAAAUGCGGAAGAGAUAAGUGCUGAAAGCAUCUAAGCACGAAACUUGCCCCGAGAUGAGUUCUCCCUGAGACUUAGAGUCUCCUGAAGGAACGUUGAAGACGACGACGUUGAUAGGCCGGGUGUGUAAGCGCAGCGAUGCGUUGAGCUAACCGGUACUAAUGAACCGUGAGGCUUAACCUUACAACGCCGAAG